GCGCAACUCACGGUGCGCCACUUCACGGCUUUCGUCGCCGGGUUCCGGUUACCUGGCGGACCUGAGAGGCCGCUGCCCCUCCCCCACCCUGGACCUUCCUGCAGCGCAGACACCCCAAAGAUGGGGUCCUCGAGCCCCAGGACUCAGGAGGUGGGUGAGGGGCGAAAGCAGAAGGAAGGUGCACCCCCUCACGGACCUCGUCCUGACUCCCCACUGCUGUCCCGGCUUUCUGGCCCCAGGGACCACCCCUCCGGCCCACACACUCGCGUCGAGUCUCCCUUCGCCGAGGUUCCUGCCCUGAUCCCCGGGGUCAGUCAGCCCCCGGCCAGCUAAUGCAGUCCCGCUCGGCCCUCUUCCUCCUCGGGCCACCUCCCGCCCCACCACACCCCCACAGUACCGGUUCCCGCCCAGGGCGCUCUCCAGGUCCGCUCAGCCUCGCCCCCCUCGGAUCCCUCUGCAGGACGCCCCCGGGACGGGCCAGCAGUUGCCGCGGGGCCUUCCGAUCCCCGCGGCCAUGUCCCCGGUCUGGCCAGGCUGAUGGGGCCAAUGAUGGUUCUCUGCCCUUUGACAUUCAGAAACUGAAGGAAAAGAGAGAUACACUGGACAAGGAGAUCGCCCAAUUAGUAUCUGAAGGCUACAGUGUGGCUGAAUUGGAUGACCACAUCUCCCAGCUCCACGAGUAUAAUGACAUUAAGGAUGUCGGCCAGGCGCUGCUGGGCAAACUCGGGGCUCAGGAAGUGCCUAGAGGGGUCACAGCGGGGACCACAUGAAGAAGAGUGCUGGGCCGGGGAUGACCUUGAGGGAGGCUGCUUCUCAGCAGGCCACAGGGUCUGAUUCUGCCACGUGAGUGCAUGCCCAGGGCCCUGCCACCUCCUUGGCCUCGGUAGCUCUUGUCACCUUGCCAAGAGGAAACCUGUUUCUAUCACGCUGACUCCCGGACCCCAGCCCAGGCGCCCGCCACUGCGCUUCCUGCCUAUGACAGGGCCCGAUUCAGGGCCGCAGGUAGGUGCAGUCACAGGGUUUACCUGCCACUUAGCAGCUGCCGUCAGCCUUUAGCCAGGUUUUCUGUUGCAUGUGUCAGAAUUAAAAGAAACUGGAAAAAAAGAAGCCGUGGUGUGAAAGCAGUCUCUCUCCUGUCUCUGACACGUACUGUUAUGCGCGCCGGGUGGGUUUACUAGAAGCUGACGACACGCAAGCUGCCUUCCUUUCUUCAGAGGACUCCCAACACCCUGGUCUACCCCAAGACUGAACCCCAACGGGGAUGUCUGGGCCUGGUGUCCGUGUUUCUGACUAGAAAACUUUGCCCCCAAGUCCACAUGAGCUGCUCUGCUGUCCAGGGCUCAGCUGGUAUGUCACCACCUUAGAGAGGCCCUCCUGGAUUCCCAGCUGAAAGCAGCUCCCAGGCUCUGCUUCACUCCCCUGCUGGGGUGCUCACCUCUCCCGUGGUCUUGCCUGCACCUCCUGUGAUAGAAACGCCUUGAGAAUAAGGGCCUUGUCUGAGCCGUGAGGCCUUGUCUGGGCCGUGAGGCCUUGUCUGGGCUGUGAAG